rnacentral:lncRNA from 1 species
AAAAUGGUAAAAAGUCAAAAUAUUGACUUUUGACUAAGAAAAGUCAAAGUUUGACUUUUGACUAGAAAUAUCUAAUGACCAUUUUACCCUUGGACUAAGUUAGUGGGAAAAUCCAACAUUUUGUUGGAUAAUCCCACUAACUCUUAGUGGGAUAUGUGGCUAUAUGAGAUAUAGACACCUAGCCCACUAAGUUCAACUAAUUGUUAGUGGAACAUUAGGUGUUGAGAUUUGGCAAAUGAAUUGCAUGCAUUUUUGCAUGCAAUUAGGCUAUAAAUAGAGGUGUUUUCAAAUGUUGAAGAACUUUUGCCUCUUUUAUCAUUUUCAUCAUCUCAACAAAAGAAAAAAAAAAACUUCCAAUCUCAUUUAUCUCCAUUAUUUUCUACACCAAAAUUGGGUCCCACAACCCAGUUCUUUGUCUAGAGGAUAGCAGUUGAGUACUAGUGGUGGUCUCGAGUAGAAUUGGUAAGAAGACAUCAAACCUUUUGAAAGCUUCAAAGGUAAUACUUCUUAAAACCCUAAUUUGAUUAGUUUAUGGUUACAUGUUAAUUGUGCAAUUAGGGUAGAAAUUCGAUUCUUUUUCCGCUGUGCAUGACUUAGUUCUAUCAUGUGGUAUCAGAGCAUGCUUCAUUUUUACCCAAUUGCAUGUGGUGGGUUCAUAUUUAUUAGAUAAAUUUUGGUUUGAACUAAAAUGGAUAUAUUAUGAUUUUGGCUCUAGAUUAAGUGUUUUUGUUCUAAUUAUUGUAAUUAGCCUUGUUAAUGGAUUAUUUUUAUUGUUGCAAAGUGUUUGUAAUUUUUAAAAAAAUAAAAAAAGUCAUUAGAGUUGAAGCUAGGCUGUAAUUGGUUCAACCGGUGAGAGAAUUGAAAAAAAUGAAGAAAAGAAGGUCACAGACCCGAAAACCCGGCCUUGACCGCUUCGCGACCCACGCGCCCUCCUGCAUCCGCACGCGCCCGCGCGCCUCCUGCGCCCGCGCGCGCCUUCGCCCGACCCGUGUGCGCCUGGCCGGUUCAAGCCAAUAAAUUUGGUUUUUGGGCCGGUUCAAGCGAUUUCGCAGCCGCGUUCGAAGUUUUUGGAAAGUGGUUCUGUACUACACCAAAUUAAUUAUGUAAUAAUUUAGUACUUAGCUUAAGUUAGGAGCCAAAAAAUCAGUCCAUUUUAGGGUGUUUUUUUAUUUGUGCAUGUGAUGUAUGAUUAAAUUACUUUAAAUUUGUAUGUGCAUUUUGAAUGUCAUAUAGAUUUAAAAUCCCACCAUAGGUUAACAUGUUCAUGCAUUAAAAUGUAUGAUAUAAAGGUUAUAUUGUAUUGUAUGCAUGUUAAUUGAUUAAUAUGGAAAUUAAUUAAUAUGAUUAAUUAAUUAUUUAAUUAAUUAAGUUAUUCUUGAUUAAAUAUGAUUUAAUCAAAUUAAUUAAUUAUUGUUUGAUUUAAUUUAAUUAAAUAUGAUUUAAUUAAAUUAAAAAUUAAAUAUGAUUUAAUUAAAGUUAAAUAAAUUAAAAUCCAUAUUAAUUGAUUGUUUUAUAAGGUUAUAUAUUGAUAAAAUGAUUGAUUAAGUUUAAAAGUUUUUAUAAGUGUUAUAAAAUAAAUUAGACUUUAAAAAUCAAUAACAAAGAUUAAAUGCAUGCUCACUUAGGUUAAACAUAUCUUCCAUUUUUCAUAAAAUAGGUCGAUAUCUUGUAAAACUGGUUACAAAAGCUCACGGUUCAAUCUUGUCAACAAGUCAGAUAAGAUGACUAAGGUUGGAGGUUCUUACUUGAAGGUUUACGAACACCUCCUACCUGGAGAUCGUUAUCAGUUCUUGAGCCUAGUUAACCUAGUUUUAUGAGCAUUCGUGAGAGGUGUGAGGUAAUAAAAAUGGUUUAUCACCUAGACAUCAUAGUUAAAAUCCAUAUAAUGGUUAUACUCGGAUGUUUUAUCUAGACUAAAGAUUUGUUUAAGUUAGCCUAAAUAUAAAUCUUGAAGCUUGGAUUACCCUAUUUUUUUUCUUUUAGAACACUCAACUAGAGAAAAAUAAUGUAUUUUAGCUCUAUGUCCUAAGAAGUUCACACCGUGAGGUCCAUACAGGGCUUUGUGCCGUGCAUAGGAGCGGCCUCCCUUCGGAGAGUGUUUGCAUGGAUCAAAAUCAAGGUGAAUAGGGGAAGUAGUUCAUAGAAAGUGGGUGAGGGAUUUGUGGCAGCACAUCCCACGGUCUCUUUCAUUAGGUCGCACCGUAAGAUUUCUAUAAUAUGCCUGCUUGUCUGCCCUGGAGCGACGUUCCCUUCGGAGGGUUGUAUUAUAGGAUUCGGAACACCGCGAACUCCAAAACUGGAUAGGAUUUCUUAGAUUAGUUUUCAUAAAUGAUUCUAAUCUAUGAAAUCUGAAAAUGGUGGGUAACACUUACAAGAAGCCCCAAUACAAUCCCCAAUACAUUAUAAUGUGGCUUCGGCCAAGAGCCCAGAGCUCCACACGCAUUUUCUUAUACCGAAAGAACCCGAUGCAUUCUUUCCCGAAGCAGCAUGUCUCUCCUUUCUACGGACGAUUAUGGCUUCGAUUGCGAGUCGAGAGUUUCCUAUAUAGGUUUUGAUCGAAGGAACCCGACGCAUUAUGGCCUAAAGCGGCUUGGCUCUCCUACUUUCUACGGGCGAUUGUAAUGUGUCUUCGACCAAGAGUCGAGAGUUCCCCAUGCAGUUUUUGUACCGAAGGAACUUAAUGAAUUUUUGGCCCAAAGCGGCUUGGCUCCACUAUUUUCUACGGGGGAUUGUAUUGGGGCUUCUUGUAAGUGUUACCCACCAUUUUCAGAUUUCAUAGAUUAGAAUCAUUUAUGAAAACUAAGCGUGUGCGCACAGGGCAUCAAGAUGCUUGAUCACAUGCUUGCCUCACACACACACAUGCCAUUCAACCAGCAGUGUCGUGACACUAUUCGUGUGAAGUUGCACUACACGUUUCUUUGCGCGUGGGUGACUUUUCACAAGGGUUUUCGACUCACACACUCCUACAUUUCUUCGCACACAUGACCUGGUUCACGACCUGGGUACAUACCUACGUCACUUGAUAAAUGGUAAAAAUAUAAGUUAUUAUAGCCUUUUAAGUAGAAUAAUAAAACCUUAAUACAUAAAAUUGGAACAAAACAUGUGGGAAAGUAAGGAAAUUGACUAAGUUGUGGAGUGAGGAUUACAAAAGAGUCAUAUGCCUGUUUAUCGCAUUUUAAUGUUUGAUUUCAAGGCUUUUAGACAAAAUGAAGAACAACCUGGCUAAAUAAUGUUAGUUGGGAAGGAUGUACGCUAACCAACCUAACAAUCACUAUAGUAAGACUAGGCGAGAUAAAGAACAAGCAAACAAAAGUGGUUGGCGCAAAAACCUACAACGGCCGUAGAUAUCUGUAAACCUGAUAAAGGACCUUUGUGGUGUCAACUCAGCCUUAUCAGAAUCAAUUAGAGCCCAUGUUGCCUGUUGUCCAUACUGUCCUGUCACAUCAAUUUUUGCCUAUAAAUAAAGAGGUUUUUUCUUCAUUGGAGGUGUACGAAUUUUGACAAACUUUGUUGCAGAGAGCAAGAACUCUUUUCCCUCCAUUUUUGUCUCUGUUUUAGGUGAGAGUCUGAAAAAAAAAAAAAAAGAGAGAUUUCCCUUUUGUGUAAAGGCAAAAACCUAGAGCCAAAGAAUAUGAACACUCAUACUUUGCGGCUUGCUUUACUUUUUUGUGUUUUAUUUGUGUAUUUUAUAACAGUGAUUUGUAAUAUUGACUCCAUGAUCGAGAGGCCUAAAGCUUCAUUUAUGAUAUUGAUGUUUUCUUUCUAUCACUCUCCCAUAUUUUUUUAUCUCUCCAUUCAUUGCAUUUUUAGUUAAUUAUUUGGACAAUGUAGGUUGCUUUAACACUAGAGAUACUACUUGAUUGCAUUUUAGGUCAUGCUUCUAUAUACGUCGAUCAAUACCUUGUCUUCUUUGAGAGAAAAGAUAUAGUAGGUGAGUAGUGGCGGAUUCAUAAAAUUUAUUGACAGGGGGCUUCACUACUAGUGACUAUCAUCAAUUGAUGCAUGAUAACUCGUAUUUUGCUAACCAUACGUGUGGAGAUUGUAGCAAUAUAAUCUUGUCCUCAAAUUUGUUUCUUGCAUAUAUCCCAGAGAUGAAUGAUAUGUGUAGCGAUAGCACUGAGAGGUUGCUCACCUUAAUAAGUGCAAAUUACUUAUAAUCCAAAUAAACAAAAAAGAUACAAAUUAUAGAUUAACUCCAAAUAUUUGGAUCUUAAGAGACGAGCAAGUAUGGAGAAAGCACUGAGAAGUUCCUCACCUUAAUUAUGAAGUUAAUAGAUGUUUUAUAUUGCCUCGAAAUGUUAAACUCUCAUGUUUUACAUAUGAUUAGCUAAAUUUUCCUUCACUACCACACCAAACCACCGAGUCAUGUUUUAUCACACUUCACCACCAUAUUCACCUUGAUGCUCUUACUAGCACCAUUAGUGUAAAUAGCUAGAAAUUUACACUGUGCAUAUUUUAUACAAUAUACUCACUACAUAAGAUUAUGACAUGAGAUAAAUUCAUUUUUGGAAACUAAUUUCCUGUGUUCAACUAUGGACUUUUCACAAAAUCUCUUUCGAUGUUUGGAAUUGAGCGAGAAAGAGGAAACUUGUACUAAUGUUUCAUCAUCAUGCAUGUGGCAACACAUAGGUAAGGCGCACACCUUUUAUCACAUAACACUAACCUAGACGUCAUGUUUAGUCGCAUUAUUUGAGCUUUGCAUGGUUGACGAAGCUAAAGAUGUAUAUGCUAAAUGAUACAAUCCAGUAGAUCAAUUUAUGAUGUUAAUGCAACAAAAUUAAGUCCUUGGAGACCAUAUUAAUUCUAAAGUUAAAUUCAAAGAAAUUGUAGUAAGGAGGGUGCUUACCGUUUUAGCUUCAACUAAAAGAAUUUAUAGAAUUUGCCUUACUUUUUGUUUCGUAGUAAUGUAGAAGUAAAGUGCUGAACCCUAGAGAAUCUGGGGAAGUAGAAAUUCAAAUUGAAAUCUAAAAACGAAUCUCAAGAAGGUGGUUAGAAGACAAAAGAAAUCACUAAAAAUAUUGUGCAAGAAUGUAAAAGAGAGCUUUUAGUGGCAACAGACAAGAAGAAGAUUAGAGAAGACAAAUUUCAUUUGAUUCUUAUUUCAAAUCUACAAAGACAAUGAAUUAACUCUCAACAGAAGUAUUGUGGCAUGGAGUAUGGGGAUUUAUUGCAACUUUUAUGGGUGUAGUACAAGAGAAAAUAAGAAUGCUUACCAUUCGACUCUUAAUCAAGUCACCUUUUGAAAUCAACUUGCUUGAUUUUUCUUUGGGUGAUUUGAC